UGGGGAAUAUUGCACAAUGGGCGCAAGCCUGAUGCAGCCAUGCCGCGUGUGUGAAGAAGGCCUUCGGGUUGUAAAGCACUUUCAGCGAGGAGGAAGGUGGUGGACUUAAUACGUUCAUCAAUUGACGUUACUCGCAGAAGAAGCACCGGCUAACUCCGUGCCAGCAGCCGCGGUAAUACGGAGGGUGCAAGCGUUAAUCGGAAUUACUGGGCGUAAAGCGCACGCAGGCGGUUUGUUAAGUCAGAUGUGAAAUCCCCGGGCUCAGCCUGGGAACUGCAUUUGAAACUGGCAAGCUAGAGUCUCGUAGAGGGGGGUAGAAUUCCAGGUGUAGCGGUGAAAUGCGUAGAGAUCUGGAGGAAUACCGGUGGCGAAGGCGGCCCCCUGGACGAAGACUGACGCUCAGGUGCGAAAGCGUGGGGAGCAAAACAGGAUUAGAGUACCCUGGUAGUCCACGCUGUAAACGAUGUCGAUUUGGAGGUUGUGCCCUUGAGGCGUGGC
rnacentral:rRNA from 1 species